CUUGGUUCCUCCCCCUCUCCCCCACCACCUCUACUGCUUUCAAAUGGCCAGUGCCCUGCUGGGAUUUUGCUGUUUAAAUGUUUCACAUCCACUUAGGAUUAAAAUAUUUGAAAAUCACCGAAUUGAGAACAUCAUUAUGUUGUCGUGUUCAAGGACCAAUGCCAAAUGGAAAGUCAGAAACUAGAGCUGAAGAGCUAUCCAUCUUUCAAGUUGCUUGAUGUUUUUGGAAUCGGUGGAGAGUUCAACAUCUGGCUUUCCCCCAGUUAAGUAUCUCUCUUUUCUGUUUUGGAACUUAAUGGAUGAGCUAAAUAGAAAGGAGAAAAAUACAGAA
rnacentral:lncRNA from 1 species